CCUACGGGUGGCAACAGUGAGGAAUAUUGGUCAAUGGCCGGAAGGCUGAACCAGCCAUGCCGCGUGAAGGUCAGUGCCCUAUGGGCGUUAAACUUCUUUUGUGCGGGAGCAAUAAUGGUCACGUGUGGCCAGACGAGAGUACCGUACGAAUAAGCAUCGGCUAACUCCGUGCCAGCAGCCGCGGUAAUACGGGGGAUGCAAGCGUUAUCCGGAUUUAUUGGGUUUAAAGGGUGCGUAGGCGGACGCUUAAGUCAGCGGUAAAAUUGCGGGGCUCAACCUCGUCGAGCCGUUGAAACUGGGUGCCUUGAGUGGGCGAGAGGUACGCGGAAUGCGUGGUGUAGCGGUGAAAUGCAUAGAUAUCACGCAGAACUCCGAUUGCGAAGGCAGCGUACCGGCGCCCAACUGACGCUGAAGCACGAAGGCGUGGGUAUCGAACAGGAUUAGAUACCCCAGUAGUC
rnacentral:rRNA from 1 species